rnacentral:rRNA from 1 species
UACAGAGGAGCCAGGCGUUGUCCGGAUUGACUGGGCGUAAAGCGCACGCAGGCGGUUGCGCGCGUGGGGGGUGAAAUCUGGCCGCUUAACGGCCAGGCGCCAUCCCAUACGGCGCGACUGGAGUGAUGCAGAGGUCGAUGGAAUUGCCGGUGUAGUGGUGAAAUGCGUAGAUAUGCGGAGGAACACCGAUGGCGAAGGCAAUCCCCUGGACCUGUACUGACGCUCAUGCACGAAAGCGUGGGGAGCAAACAGG